rnacentral:rRNA from 1 species
GCCGGGGGCGGGGUGCCUAUACAUGCAAGUCGAGCGAACUGAUUAGAAGCUUGCUUCUAUGACGUUAGCGGCGGACGGGUGAGUAACACGUGGGCAACCUGCCUGUAAGACUGGGAUAACUCCGGGAAACCGGAGCUAAUACCGGAUAACAUUUUCUCUUGCAUAAGAGAAAAUUGAAAGAUGGUUUCGGCUAUCACUUACAGAUGGGCCCGCGGUGCAUUAGCUAGUUGGUGAGGUAACGGCUCACCAAGGCAACGAUGCAUAGCCGACCUGAGAGGGUGAUCGGCCACACUGGGACUGAGACACGGCCCAGACUCCUACGGGAGGCAGCAGUAGGGAAUCUUCCGCAAUGGACGAAAGUCUGACGGAGCAACGCCGCGUGAGUGAUGAAGGCUUUCGGGUCGUAAAACUCUGUUGUUAGGGAAGAACAAGUACAAGAGUAACUGCUUGUACCUUGACGGUACCUAACCAGAAAGCCACGGCUAACUACGUGCCAGCAGCCGCGGUAAUACGUAGGUGGCAAGCGUUAUCCGGAAUUAUUGGGCGUAAAGCGCGCGCAGGCGGUUUCUUAAGUCUGAUGUGAAAGCCCACGGCUCAACCGUGGAGGGUCAUUGGAAACUGGGGAACUUGAGUGCAGAAGAGAAAAGCGGAAUUCCACGUGUAGCGGUGAAAUGCGUAGAGAUGUGGAGGAACACCAGUGGCGAAGGCGGCUUUUUGGUCUGUAACUGACGCUGAGGCGCGAAAGCGUGGGGAGCAGACAGGAUUAUAUACCCUGGUAGUCCACGCCGUCACAGCAUUAGUGCACGUAGUCAGAGGGAU